UUUCUGGACUGUGUACA
rnacentral:misc_RNA from 1 species